GACGAACGCUGGCGGCGUGCUUAACACAUGCAAGUCGAACGAGGUCCAUGCAGUGGCAACACUGCGGAAGACCUAGUGGCGAACGGGUGAGUAACACGUGAGGAACCUGCCCCGAAGACCGGGAUAACUCUCCGAAAGGAGUGCUAAUACCGGAUACCCCCACCUGGCCGCAUCACCGGGUGAGGAAAUGGAUUCCGCUUCGGGAGGGCCUCGCGGCCUAUCAGCUAGUUGGUGGGGUAACGGCCCACCAAGGCAUCGACGGGUAGCUGGUCUGGGAGAACGAUCAGCCACACUGGGACUGAGACACGGCCCAGACUCCUACGGGAGGCAGCAGUGGAGAAUCUUGCGCAAUGGGCGAAAGCCUGACGCAGCAACGCCGCGUGGGGGAUGAAGGCUCUCGGGUCGUAAACCCCUUUCAGCAGGGACGAAUCAAGACGGUACCUGCAGAAGAAGCCCCGGCUAACUACGUGCCAGCCGCCGCUGUAAAAC
rnacentral:rRNA from 1 species